rnacentral:rRNA from 1 species
GAUGAACGCUGGCGGCGUGCCUAAUACAUGCAAGUAGAACGCUGAAGGAGGAGCUUGCUCUUCUGGAUGAGUUGCGAACGGGUGAGUAACGCGUAGGUAACCUGCCUGGUAGCGGGGGAUAACUAUUGGAAACGAUAGCUAAUACCGCAUGACAACAGUUAUUGCAUGAUAACUGUUUAAAAGGGGCAACUGCUCCACUACCAGAUGGACCUGCGUUGUAUUAGCUAGUUGGUGAGGUAACGGCUCACCAAGGCGACGAUACAUAGCCGACCUGAGAGGGGGAUCGGCCACACUGGGACUGAGACACGGCCCAGACUCCUACGGGAGGCAGCAGUAGGGAAUCGUCGGCAAUGGACGGAAGUCUGACCGAGCAACGCCGCGUGAGUGAAGAAGGUUGUCGGAUCGUAAAGCUCGGUUGUAAGAGAAGAACGAGUGUGAGAGUGGAAAGUUCACACUGUGACGGUAUCUGACCAGAAAGGGACGGCUAACUACGUG